rnacentral:lncRNA from 10 species
CUUUUCCAAGACCCUUCUUCAUUCCAGCGCCCCCUCUACUCCUAUCCAGUGAUAUCUUCCAGAUUUUCAGAAAUAAUUUUUUAGAUACACAGAAACAAACAUUUCUACCAGGAUCUAAAAAUAGCCAUCACCUUCUUUAGCCCAUUUAACUUGACGAAAUGUGUCCCUCCCAUUUCAGGGGUAGGGAGGAGGUCCCAGGGAAGAACCUGGUUGCCAAAGUCUCGGCCAGUUGGAGAAGAGAUGGGUCUCCCGAGGAUACCCAAGCCCAAGCUCUACACUGUCCCAAGCUUUCAGAUUCUCCAGCUGCUCCUCUUCUGAGACUCACCCAGUCUCAUGCCUCCAUUAGCCUCAACUCCCGACCCAUGGCCUGUGGUGAGAGGUGCUAACAACAUGACCUGCUUUCAUCUUGACCUUCCCAGCCCACCCAGAGAAAAGGGAAUCUUGGCUAAAAAAAGGCUGGAAGAGGGGAGAACCCUGGCACUGCGGGUGGGGCUGGGAGGAGCCCAGGCAACCUUACUGGUGAGAAUCUCAUGGCUCUUCAAGCUGACUGCUAAGCUGGAUGCGUAGGGGAAAGCAGAGAAAAGGUGAUUUACUGGGACACAGAGACACAGGCUGGAAGAGAUAGCAUGUGUUUCCUUAAAAUUUGAAGCAUUUGGCUGGGCACAGUGGCUCACACCUGUAAUCCCUGCACUUUGGGAGGUAAAGGCAAGAGGAUUUCCUGGGCCCAAGAGUUAGAGGCUGCAGUGAGCUAUGAUUGUGCCAUUGUACUCCAGCCUGGGAGACAGAAACCCCCUCUCUUAAAAAAAUAAAAAAAUAAAAAAUGGAACCAUUGCUCUGAGUUUCUAAUAGGGGGAGU